GGCUACGAUUCGCCCUUAGAGUUUGAUCAUGGCUCAGAAUGAACGCUGGCGGCGUGCCUAACACAUGCAAGUCGAGCGAGAAAGCUUCUUCGGAAGUGAGUACAGCGGCGGACGGGUGAGUAACACGUGAGAAUUUACCCUUUAGUGAAGAAUACUCUCGAGAAAUCGGGGUUAAUACUGCAUACGUCCCUCCGGGGAGAAAGGUGGCUUUAUGCUGCCGCUAAAGAAUGAGCUUGCGGGCUAUUAGCUUGUUGGUGAGGUAAAGGCUCACCAAGGCGAUGAUGGCUAGCCGGCCUGAGAGGGUGUUCGGCCACAUUGGAACUGAGACACGGUCCAGACUCCUACGGGAGGCAGCAGUGGGGAAUAUUGCGCAAUGGGCGAAAGCCUGACGCAGCGACGCCGCGUGGAGGAUGAAGGCUUUUGGGUCGUAAACUCCUGUUAGGUGGGAAGAAAAGCCUGUUUCUAAAAUAGACAGGUACUGACGGUACCACCAGAGAAAGCACCGGCUAACUUCGUGCCAGCAGCCGCGGUAAUACGAGGGGUGUAAGCGUUAUUCGGAAUUACUGGGCGUAAAGGGUGCGUAGACGGCUCGUUAAGUCUGUUGUUAAAUUUUUCGGCCUAACCGAAAAGCUGCGAUGGAAACUGAUGUGCUAGAGAAUGAGAGAGAGAAGUGGAAUUCCCGGAGUAGCGGUAAAAUGCGUGGAUCUCGGGAGGAACACCAAUGGCGAAGGCAGCUUCUUGGCUCAUUUCUGACGUUGAGGCACGAAAGCGNUGGGGAGCAAACAGGAUUAGAUACCCUGGUAGUCCACGCUGUAAACGAUAACCACUAGACGUUAGUCCGGCUUUGCUGGAUUAGUGUCGUAGCUAACGCGUUAAGUGGUUCGCCUGGGGGCCACGAUCGCAAGAUUAAAACUCAAAGGAAUUGACGGGGGUCCGCACAAGCGGUGGAACAUGUGGUUUAAUUCGACAAUACGCGAGGAACCUUACCUGGACUUGACAUGUGCGUGACAGCUGUAGAAAUAUGGUUUUUUGGGCUUUUGUCCAGACACGUGCACAGGUGCUGCAUGGCUGUCGUCAGCUCGUGUCGUGAGAUGUUGGGUUAAGUCCUCUAACGAGCGCAACCCUUGCUGCUAGUUGCAACUUGCUUUCGGGCAAGGCACUCUAGCGGGACUGCCUGGGAAACCAGGAGGAAGGUGGGGAUGACGCCAAGUCAUCAUGGUCCUUAUGUCCAGGGCUACACACGUGUUACAAUGGCCGAUACAAAGGGGAGCAAACUCGUAAGAGUAAGCAAAUCUCAAAAAGUCGGUCUAAGUUCGGAUUGAGGUCUGCAAUUCGACCUCAUGAAGUUGAAAUCGCUAGUAAUCGCGUAUCAGCAACGACGCGGUGAAUACGUUCUCGGACCUUGUACACACCGCCCGUCACACCACGAAAGCUGUUUGUACCCAAAGUCAUUUUAGCCAACCCGAAAGGGAGGCGGGUGCCUAAGGUAUGGGUAGUGAUUGGGGUGAAGUCGUAACAAGGUAACCGUAAAGGGCGAAUCGCGCCACGG
rnacentral:rRNA from 1 species